GACGAACGCUGGCGGCGUGCCUAAUACAUGCAAGUCGAACGCAGUGGGGACGGGUGAGUAACACGUGGGUAACCUCCCAUCAGAGGGGAUAACCCUUGGAAACAGGUGCUAAACCGAUACUGAUGGAUGGACCCGCGGUGCAUUAGCUAGGUGGCGAGGUAACGGCGCACCAAGGCCACGAUCCGUAACCGACCUGAGAGGGUGAUCAGUCACACUGGGACUGAGACACGGCCCAGACUCCUACGGGAGGCAGCAGUGGGGAAUAUUCGACAAUGGACGAAAGUCUGAUCGAGCAAUGCCGCGUGAGUGAAGAAGGUUUUCGGAUCGUAAAGCACUGUUGUUAGGGAAGCGUUAUCUAACCAGAAAGCCCCGGCUAACUACGUGCCAGCAGCCGCGGUAAUAC
rnacentral:rRNA from 1 species